GCAGCCGUAGCUCAGUUGGAUAGAGUAUUGGCCUCCGAAGCCAAGGGUCGCGCGUUCGAGUCGCGCCGGCUGCACCA
rnacentral:tRNA from 2 species